GGUUAAGCGACUAAGCGUACACGGUGGAUGCCCUGGCAGUCAGAGGCGAUGAAGGACGUGCUAAUCUGCGAAAAGCGUCGGUAAGGUGAUAUGAACCGUUAUAACCGGCGAUGUCCGAAUGGGGAAACCCAGUGCAAUUCGUUGCACUAUCGUUAACUGAAUACAUAGGUUAACGAGGCGAACCGGGGAACUGAAACAUCUAAGUACCCCGAGGAAAAGAAAUCAACCGAGAUUCCCCAGUAGCGGCGAGCGAACGGGGAGCAGCCCAGAGUCUGAAUCAGCUUGUGUGUUAGUGGAACGGUCUGGAAAGUCCGACGGUACAGGGUGAUAGUCCCGUACACCAAAAUGCACAGGUUGUGAACUCGAAGAGUAGGGCGGGACACGUGGUAUCCUGUCUGAAUAUGGGGACCAUCCUCCAAGGCUAAAUACUCCUGACUGACCGAUAGUGAACCAGUACCGUGAGGGAAAGGCGAAAAGAACCCCGGCGAGGGAGUGAAAAAGAACCUGAAACCGUGUACGUACAAGCAGUGGGAGCACCUUCGGGUGUGACUGCGUACCUUUGUAUAAUGGGUCAGCGACUUAUAUUCUGUAGCAAGGUUAACCGUAUAGGGGAGCCGCAGGGAAACCGAGUCUUAACUGGGCGUUAAGUUGCAGGGUAUAGACCCGAAACCCGGUGAUCUAGCCAUGGGCAGGUUGAAGGUUGGGUAACACUAACUGGAGGACCGAACCGACUAAUGUUGAAAAAUUAGCGGAUGACUUGUGGCUGGGGUGAAAGGCCAAUCAAACCGGGAGAUAGCUGGUUCUCCCCGAAAGCUAUUUAGGUAGCGCCUCGUGAAUUCAUCUUCGGGGUAGAGCACUGUUUCGGCUAGGGGUCAUCCCGACUUACCAACCCGAUGCAAACUACGAAUACCGAAGAAUGUUAUCACGGGAGACACACGGCGGGUGCUAACGUCCGUCGUGAAGAGAAACAACCCAGACCGCCAGCUAAGGUCCCAAAGUCAUGGUUAAGUGGGAAACGAUGUGGGAAGGCACAGACAGCCAGGAUGUUGGCUUAGAAGCAGCCAUCAUUUAAAGAAAGCGUAAUAGCUCACUGGUCGAGUCGGCCUGCGCGGAAGAUGUAACGGGGCUAAACCAUGCACCGAAGCUGCGGCAGCGACACUAUGUGUUGUUGGGUAGGGAGCGUUCUGUAAGCCUGCGAAGGUGUGCUGUGAGGCAUGCUGGAGGUAUCAGAAGUGCGAAUGCUGACAUAAGUAACGAUAAAGCGGGUGAAAAGCCCGCUCGCCGGAAGACCAAGGGUUCCUGUCCAACGUUAAUCGGGGCAGGGUGAGUCGACCCCUAAGGCGAGGCCGAAAGGCGUAGUCGAUGGGAAACAGGUUAAUAUUCCUGUACUUGGUGUUACUGCGAAGGGGGACGGAGAAGGCUAUGUUAGCCGGGCGACGGUUGUCCCGGUUUAAGCAUGUAGGCUGGUUAUCCAGGCAAAUCCGGAUAAUCAAGGCUGAGGUGUGAUGACGAGGCACUACGGUGCUGAAGUAACAAAUGCCCUGCUUCCAGGAAAAGCCUCUAAGCAUCAGGUAACAUCAAAUCGUACCCCAAACCGACACAGGUGGUCAGGUAGAGAAUACCAAGGCGCUUGAGAGAACUCGGGUGAAGGAACUAGGCAAAAUGGUGCCGUAACUUCGGGAGAAGGCACGCUGGUGUGUAGGUGAAGCCCCUGCGGGUGGAGCUGAGACCAGUCGAAGAUACCAGCUGGCUGCAACUGUUUAUUAAAAACACAGCACUGUGCAAACACGAAAGUGGACGUAUACGGUGUGACGCCUGCCCGGUGCCGGAAGGUUAAUUGAUGGGGUUAUCCGUAAGGAGAAGCUCUUGAUCGAAGCCCCGGUAAACGGCGGCCGUAACUAUAACGGUCCUAAGGUAGCGAAAUUCCUUGUCGGGUAAGUUCCGACCUGCACGAAUGGCGUAAUGAUGGCCAGGCUGUCUCCACCCGAGACUCAGUGAAAUUGAACUCGCUGUGAAGAUGCAGUGUACCCGCGGCAAGACGGAAAGACCCCGUGAACCUUUACUAUAGCUUGACACUGAACAUUGAGCCUUGAUGUGUAGGAUAGGUGGGAGGCUUUGAAGCGUGGACGCCAGUCUGCGUGGAGCCAACCUUGAAAUACCACCCUUUAAUGUUUGAUGUUCUAACGUUGGCCCCUUACCGGGGUUGCGGACAGUGUCUGGUGGGUAGUUUGACUGGGGCGGUCUCCUCCUAAAGCGUAACGGAGGAGCACGAAGGUUAGCUAAUCCUGGUCGGACAUCAGGAGGUUAGUGCAAUGGCAUAAGCUAGCUUGACUGCGAGCGUGACGGCGCGAGCAGGUGCGAAAGCAGGUCAUAGUGAUCCGGUGGUUCUGAAUGGAAGGGCCAUCGCUCAACGGAUAAAAGGUACUCCGGGGAUAACAGGCUGAUACCGCCCAAGAGUUCAUAUCGACGGCGGUGUUUGGCACCUCGAUGUCGGCUCAUCACAUCCUGGGGCUGAAGUAGGUCCCAAGGGUAUGGCUGUUCGCCAUUUAAAGUGGUACGCGAGCUGGGUUUAGAACGUCGUGAGACAGUUCGGUCCCUAUCUGCCGUGGGCGCUGGAGAAUUGAGGGGCUGCUCCUAGUACGAGAGGACCGGAGUGGACGCAUCACUGGUGUUCGGGUUGUCAUGCCAAUGGCACUGCCCGGUAGCUAAAUGCGGAAGAGAUAAGUGCUGAAAGCAUCUAAGCACGAAACUUGCCCCGAGAUGAGUUCUCCCUGAGACUUUAAGUCUCCUGAAGGAACGUUGAAGACGACGACGUUGAUAGGCCGGGUGUGUAAGCGCAGCGAUGCGUUGAGCUAACCGGUACUAAUGAACCGUGAGGCUUAACCUU
rnacentral:rRNA from 1 species